UAAUACGAACUGUGCGAACGUUAUUCGGAAUCACUGGGCUUAAAGGGUGCGUAGGCGGCGGCACAAGUCAGGUGUGAAAUCCCCCGGCUCAACCGGGGAACAGCGCUUGAAACUAGGUCGCUCGAGUGAGGCAGGGGUAUGUGGAACUUCCGGUGGAGCGGUGAAAUGUGUAGAUAUCGGAAGGAACGCCGGCGGCGAAAGCGGCAUACUGGGCCUUGUCUGACGCUGAGGCACGAAAGCUAGGGGAGUGAACGGGAUUAGAUACCCCGGUAAUCCUAGCCGUAAACACUGAGCACUGGAGGGGAGGGGCUUCGGCCUUUUCCCUCGCAGCGAAAGCGUUAAGUGCUCCGCCUGGGGAGUAUGGUCGCAAGGCUG
rnacentral:rRNA from 1 species